GCCCAACAGACUGCCGCGUGGAGGAGAAGCCUGUGGGUCGUAACUCCUUUUCUCAGAGAAGAAGAUCUGACGGUAUCUGAGGAAUAAGCAUCGGCUAACUCCGUGCCAGCAGCCGCGGUAAUACGGAGGAUGCAAGCGUUAUCCGGAAUGAUUGGGCGUAAAGCGUCUGUAGGUGGUUUUAUAAGUCCACUGUCAAAGAUCAGGGCUUAACCCUGGGCAGGCAGUGGAAACUAUAAGGCUUGAGUACGGUAGGGGCAGAGGGAAUUCCCGGUGUAGCGGUGAAAUGCGUAGAGAUCGGGAAGAACACCAACGGCGAAAGCACUCUGCUGGGCCGAAACUGACACUAGAGACGAAACCAGGGCCC
rnacentral:rRNA from 1 species